UGGGGAAUCUUGCACAAUGGAGGCAACUCUGAUGCAGCGACGCCGCGUGAGCGAUGAAGCCCUUCGGGUGUGAAAGCUCUUUCGGCAGGGACGAUAAUGACGGUACCUGAAGAAGAAGCUGCGGCUAACUACGUGCCAGCAGCCGCGGUAAUACGUAGGCAGCGAGCGUUGUUCGGAAUUACUGGGCGUAAAGAGUGUGUAGGCGGCUUGGCAAGUCGGAUGUGAAAGCCCGGGCUCAACCCGGGAAGUGCACUCGAUACUGCUGAGCUUGAGUGUCGGAGAGGUUGGUGGAAUUCUCGGUGUAGAGGUGAAAUUCGUAGAUAUCGAGAGGAACACCGGUUGGCGAAGGCGGCCAACUGGACGAACACUGACGCUGAGACACGAAAGCGUGGGGAGCAAAACA
rnacentral:rRNA from 1 species